GCAAGUCGAGCGGAUGAAGGGAGCUUGCUCCUGGAUUUAGCGGCGGACGGGUGAGUAAUGCCUAGGAAUCUGCCUGGUAGUGGGGGAUAACGUUCCGAAAGGAACGCUAAUACCGCGUACGUCCUACGGGAGAAAGCAGGGGACCUUCGGGCCUUGCGCUAUCAGAUGAGCCUAGGUCGGAUUAGCUAGUUGGUGAGGUAAUGGCUCACCAAGGCGACGAUCCGUAACUGGUCUGAGAGGAUGAUCAGUCACACUGGAACUGAGACACGGUCCAGACUCCUACGGGAGGCAGCAGUGGGGAAUAUUGGACAAUGGGCGAAAGCCUGAUCCAGCCAUGCCGCGUGUGUGAAGAAGGUCUUCGGAUUGUAAAGCACUUUAAGUUGGGAGGAAGGGUUGUACGUUAAUACCGUGCAAUUUUGACGUUACCGACAGAAUAAGCACCGGCUAACUUCGUGCCAGCAGCCGCGGUAAUACGAAGGGUGCAAGCGUUAAUCGGAAUUACUGGGCGUAAAGCGCGCGUAGGUGGUUCAGUAAGUUGGAAGUGAAAUCCCCGGGCUCAACCUGGGAACUGCUUUCAAAACUGCUGAGCUAGAGUACGGUAGAGGGUAGUGGAAUUUCCUGUGUAGCGGUGAAAUGCGUAGAUAUAGGAAGGAACACCAGUGGCGAAGGCGRCUACCUGGACUGAUACUGACACUGAGGUGCGAAAGCGUGGGGAGCAAACAGGAUUAGAUACCCUGGUAGUCCACGCCGUAAACGAUGUCAACUAGCCGUUGGGAUCCUUGAGAUCUUAGUGGCGCAGCUAACGCAUUAAGUUGACCGCCUGGGGAGUACGGCCGCAAGGUUAAAACUCAAAUGAAUUGACGGGGGCCCGCACAAGCGGUGGAGCAUGUGGUUUAAUUCGAAGCAACGCGAAGAACCUUACCUGGCCUUGACAUGCUGAGAACUUUCCAGAGAUGGAUUGGUGCCUUCGGGAACUCAGACACAGGUGCUGCAUGGCUGUCGUCAGCUCGUGUCGUGRGAUGUUGGGUUAAGUCCCGUAACGAGCGCAACCCUUGUCCUUAGUUACCAGCACC
rnacentral:rRNA from 1 species